UACGUAGGGGGCAAGCGUUGUCCGGAUUUAUUGGGCGUAAAGAGCGUGUAGGCGGUUUGGUAGGUCCGCUGUGAAAACUCGAGGCUCAACCUCGAGACGCCGGUGGAAACCAUCAGACUAGAGUCCGGAAGAGGCGAGUGGAAUUCCCGGUGUAGCGGUGAAAUGCGCCAGAUAUCGGGAGGAACACCAAUGGCGAAGGCAGCUCGCUGGGACGGUACUGACGCUGAGGCGCGAAAGCGUGGGGAGCAAACAGG
rnacentral:rRNA from 1 species